rnacentral:lncRNA from 1 species
UUUAUGCCCACAUCUGUUCCCGACCCUCUCCUCUGAUUUUCCUCACAUGUAUUUCCUCCCCUCUUCAGCCCCGCGCCAGCUCCAGGCACAGCCGUUCAGGGUGAUGCCAAAGGGAAAUGAGAACGCCUGGUUUCGAGUGCCAGCCUGAGGCCCCUUAAGCCCUAGCCUGGCUCCAAAAACUGCAGCCUGUUUCCCUCAACAAAAAUGACGUCAAGAAUACCUAGAUGUGACCACACCGAACUUGCUUGCCCGUUUUGGGAAACCCAACUUUCUUCCUGAAUAGUCAGAACCUCUGGCUUUCCUGGUCUCUUAAGAACCGCAAACUAUUGAAAAGCAGAUGCGUCUUUCAGCCUCUUUAAUAAAUGCAGUAAGGAGAGUUGGGACAGAGUUACUUUCAGACUGUGGGGCUCCCCCGUGCCAAAGCAUUCAGACGAAAUGUGGGGGAUAGCGGGGGGAAGGCAGGCAA